AGCCUCAUCCUACUGCCUUACUAUUGGUCGUCGGCAACCGCUUUGUUAGUUAAUUGGAGAGACUGGAUGUCCAUCAGGGUCACGCUUGCAGGGCAACGAGAGGCAAAACAAGAGGGAAGACGACUUUCCUCCUGUGAGCCAAUGAGGCCAGCUGGACUACGCCGAGACAACUGGGAGAGGCGCGGGACUCGCCCGUUCCGCGGAACGCCGGGAAGGGGUCACCUCCUGAUGAAGUUUCCGGUUCCGGUGUCAGCGGCGGUUGAAUUGCCAUGGCAAUGCGGUGGGCGCGCGCUUGUCGUGUUGGUCUCUUGGGAGGUAGCGGGGCUAGGCCGGGCGGGUAUCCGCCUCUCCCAGCUUAGGUGAGCGUCCCCGGGCGCCUCCGGAGCGCCGCGGCCGCAUGCAGUUCGUCGUGGCGGGGAGCCGGAGCCUGACCGGGGUUCCAGCGCUCGGGCCGUAGCCUUGGCUCCUGGACUUUCCCUGGCUCCGCCGCCACGUGGGAGCUGAGGCUCUGGGGCUUCCGCCUCCGGCGCGCGAUUAUUUCUCUAGAACAGUUUUCAUUUUUAAAAUUUGUAAAGCGCUUUUGCCUGUGUGAUUUCCUCUGGGUUUUUUUUUUUUUUCUUCCUUUUUGUAGAGACGGAAUUGGCGGCGGGGGCGGGGGGUCGAUGUCUCACUUUUUUGCCCAGGCUGGUCUCGAACUCCUGGCUUCAAGGGAUCCUCCUGCCUCGGCCUCUUAAAGUGCUGGGAUUACAGGCGUGAGCCACCGCCCCCGGCCGCCUCUGAGUUUCCAGCCUCGUUGGCCCUCCAGCCUUUUAACCUGUUGGGCCUAGGAUCAGGAAAGGUUUGUUGAAUGGGGAACUAAGAAGUGAAUUCGUUCGUUCGACAAACGUUUCCUGAGCAGCCGCUGGGUGCUAGGCGCAGUGCCAGCGCGGAAUGUCCAGGGAGACCUGGUGCCCAAAGCUUGGACCCAUCGUGAGAAAUGAGAAGCAGAUACAAAGCAGUGUGGGAGUGCAGAGGAGACAAAGCAAGCCUCAUCAGGCCCAUUGCUUGCUCUGCUCUCCCUUGUACUUACCAGUGCUUGACAAUAUACAGUUAUUUACUAGCUUGGUUAUUGACUUCCUACCCAGCACUCAGUUUUAUUCACUGCUGUAUCCUCAGUGCCUAGGACGAUGCUUGGAACGUGAUUCAUUGAUUCCAGGUAAAUCAGAGGAACAAGCAACAUGAACAGAAAUAUGUAGAAAAAGCUAUUAUGCAGAAGCAUAAUUGUUGUUUCAGAAGUCCAGCAUCUGGUGCACUUAACAAUAGAGAAUAUAUUAAACUCUUUCCAAAAUAA
rnacentral:lncRNA from 10 species